rnacentral:rRNA from 1 species
UACGUAGGGGGCUAGCGUUGUUCGGAAUUAUUGGGCGUAAAGCGCACGUAGGCGGACUACUAAGUCAGGGGUGAAAUCCCGGGGCUCAACCCCGGAACUGCCUUUGAUACUGAUAGUCUCGAGUCCGGAAGAGGUGAGUGGAAUUCCGAGUGUAGAGGUGAAAUUCAUAGAUAUUCGGAGGAACACCAGUGGCGAAGGCGGCUCACUGGUCCGGUACUGACGCUGAGGUGCGAAAGCGUGGGGAGCAAACAGG